rnacentral:rRNA from 1 species
GACGAACGCUGGCGGCGUGCUUAACACAUGCAAGUCGAACGGAAAGGCCCUGCUUUUGUGGGGUGCUCGAGUGGCGAACGGGUGAGUAACACGUGAGUAACCUGCCCUUGACUUUGGGAUAACUUCAGGAAACUGGGGCUAAUACCGGAUAGGAGCUCCUGCUGCAUGGUGGGGGUUGGAAAGUUUCGGCGGUUGGGGAUGGACUCGCGGCUUAUCAGCUUGUUGGUGGGGUAGUGGCUUACCAAGGCUUUGACGGGUAGCCGGCCUGAGAGGGUGACCGGCCACAUUGGGACUGAGAUACGGCCCAGACUCCUACGGGAGGCAGCAGUGGGGAAUAUUGCACAAUGGGCGGAAGCCUGAUGCAGCAACGCCGCGUGCGGGAUGACGGCCUUCGGGUUGUAAACCGCUUUCGCCUGUGACGAAGCGUGAGUGACGGUAAUGGGUAAAGAAGCACCGGCUAACUACGUGCCAGCAGCCGCGGUGAUACGUAGGGUGCGAGCGUUGUCCGGAUUUAUUGGGCGUAAAGGGCUCGUAGGUGGUUGAUCGCGUCGGAAGUGUAAUCUUGGGGCUUAACCCUGAGCGUGCUUUCGAUACGGGUUGACUUGAGGAAGGUAGGGGAGAAUGGAAUUCCUGGUGGAGCGGUGGAAUGCGCAGAUAUCAGGAGGAACACCAGUGGCGAAGGCGGUUCUCUGGGCCUUUCCUGACGCUGAGGAGCGAAAGCGUGGGGAGCGAACAGGCUUAGAUACCCUGGUAGCCCACGCUGUAAACGGUGGGUACUAGGUGUGGGGUCCAUUCCACGGGUUCCGUGCCGUAGCUAACGCUUUAAGUACCCCGCCUGGGGAGUACGGCCGCAAGGCUAAAACUCAAAGGAAUUGACGGGGCCCCGCACAAGCGGCGGAGCAUGCGGAUUAAUUCGAUGCAACGCGUAGAACCUUACCUGGGUUUGACAUGGAUCGGGAGUGCUCAGAGAUGGGUGUGCCUCUUUUGGGGUCGGUUCACAGGUGGUGCAUGGCUGUCGUCAGCUCGUGUCGUGAGAUGUUGGGUUAAGUCCCGCAACGAGCGCAACCCUUGUUCACUGUUGCCAGCACGUUAUGGUGGGGACUCAGUGGAGACCGCCGGGGUCAACUCGGAGGAAGGUGGGGAUGACGUCAAGUCAUCAUGCCCCUUAUGUCCAGGGCUUCACGCAUGCUACAAUGGCUGGUACAGAGAGUGGCGAGCCUGUGAGGGUGAGCGAAUCUCGGAAAGCCGGUCUCAGUUCGGAUUGGGGUCUGCAACUCGACCUCAUGAAGUCGGAGUCGCUAGUAAUCGCAGAUCAGCAACGCUGCGGUGAAUACGUUCCCGGG